AGUGAACGCUGGCGGUAGGCCUAACACAUGCAAGUCGAACGGCAGCACAGUAAGAGCUUGCUCUUACGGGUGGCGAGUGGCGGACGGGUGAGGAAUACAUCGGAAUCUACUUUUUCGUGGGGGAUAACGUAGGGAAACUUACGCUAAUACCGCAUACGACCUACGGGUGAAAGCAGGGGAUCUUCGGACCUUGCGCGAUUGAAUGAGCCGAUGUCGGAUUAGCUGGUUGGCGGGGUAAAGGCCCACCAAGGCGACGAUCCGUAGCUGGUCUGAGAGGAUGAUCAGCCGCACUGGAACUGAGACACGGUCCAGACUCCUACGGGAGGCAGCAGUGGGGAAUAUUGGACAAUGGGCGCAAGCCUGAUCCAGCCAUACCGCGUGGGUGAAGAAGGCCUUCGGGUUGUAAAGCCCUUUUGUUGGGAAAGAAAAGCAGCAGGUUAAUACCCCGCUGUUCUGACGGUACCCAAAGAAUAAGCACCGGCUAACUUCGUG
rnacentral:rRNA from 1 species